GAAUAUUGGACAAUGGGGGGAACCCUGAUCCAGCAAUGCCGCGUGUGUGAAGAAGGCCUUUUGGUUGUAAAGCACUUUAAGCGGGGAGGAGGCUACUCUCGUUAAUACCUAGAGAUAGUGGACGUUACUCGCAGAAUAAGCAACUGCUAACUCUGUGACAGCAGCCGCGGUAAUAAAGAGGGUGCAAGCGUUAAUCGGAUUUACUGGGCGUAAAGCGCGCGUAGGUGGCCAAUUAAGUCAAAUGUGAAAUCCCCGAGCUUAACUUGGGAAUUGCAUUCGAUACUGGUGGGCUAGAGUAUGGGAGAGGAUGGUAGAAUUCCAGGUGUAGCGGUGAAAUGCGUAGAGAUCUGGAGGAAUACCGAUGGCGAAGGCAGCCAUCUGGCCUAAUACUGACACUGAGGUGCGAAAGCAUGGGGAGCAAACA
rnacentral:rRNA from 1 species